rnacentral:rRNA from 1 species
GAUGAACGCUGGCGGCGUGCCUAAUACAUGCAAGUCGAGCGAACUGAUUAGAAGCUUGCUUCUAUGACGUUAGCGGCGGACGGGUGAGUAACACGUGGGUAACCUGCCUGUAAGACUGGGAUAACUUCGGGAAACCGAAGCUAAUACCGGAUAGGAUCUUCUCCUUCAUGGGAGAUGAUUGAAAGAUGGUUUCGGCUAUCACUUACAGAUGGGCCCGCGGUGCAUUAGCUAGUUGGUGAGGUAACGGCUCACCAAGGCAACGAUGCAUAGCCGACCUGAGAGGGUGAUCGGCCACACUGGGACUGAGACACGGCCCAGACUCCUACGGGAGGCAGCAGUAGGGAAUCUUCCGCAAUGGACGAAAGUCUGACGGAGCAACGCCGCGUGAGUGAUGAAGGCUUUCGGGUCGUAAAACUCUGUUGCUAGGGAAGAACAAGUACAAUAGUAACUGCUUGUACCUUGACGGUACCUAACCAGAAAGCCACGGCUAACUACGUGCCAGCCGCCGCCGUAACAC